rnacentral:rRNA from 1 species
GAGUUUGAUCGUGGCUCAGAUUGAACGCUGGCGGCAUGCCUUACACAUGCAAGUCGAACGGCAGCAUGAUCUAGCUUGCUAGAUUGAUGGCGAGUGGCGAACGGGUGAGUAAUACAUCGGAACGUGCCCUGUAGUGGGGGAUCACUAGUCGAAAGAUUAGCUAAUACCGCAUACGACCUGAGGGUGAAAGUGGGGGACCGCAAGGCCUCAUGCUAUAGGAGCGGCCGAUGUCUGAUUAGCUAGUUGGUGGGGUAAAGGCCCACCAAGGCGACGAUCAGUAGCUGGUCUGAGAGGACGAUCAGCCACACUGGGACUGAGACACGGCCCAGACUCCUACGGGAGGCAGCAGUGGGGAAUUUUGGACAAUGGGCGAAAGCCUGAUCCAGCAAUGCCGCGUGUGUGAAGAAGGCCU